rnacentral:rRNA from 1 species
AGUGAACGCUGGCGGCGUGCCUAACACAUGCAAGUCGAACGAUGAUAGAAGAGCUUGCUUUUCUUGAUUAGUGGCGCACGGGUGAGUAACACGUGGGCAACCUACCCUAUAGAUUGGGAUAACACAGGGAAACCUGUGCUAAUACCGAAUAAUACCUUUCUCUUCAUGGAGAAUGGUUGAAAGAUGGUUUCGGCUAUCACUAUAGGAUGGGCCCGCGGCGCAUUAGCUAGUUGGUGAGGUAAUGGCUCACCAAGGCAACGAUGCGUAGCCGACCUGAGAGGGUGAUCGGCCACACUGGGACUGAGACACGGCCCAGACUCCUACGGGAGGCAG